rnacentral:rRNA from 1 species
CACACCGCCCGUCACACCACGAAAGUGGUCAUAACCAGAAGCAGGUGAGCUAACCUUCGGGAGGCAGCCUACCAAGGUUGUGGUUGCAAUUGGGGUG